AGUGAACGCUGGCGGUAGGCCUAACACAUGCAAGUCGAACGGCAGCACAGUAAGAGCUUGCUCUUACGGGAGGCGCGUGGCGGACGGGUGAGGAAUAUAUCGGAAUCUACUUUUUCGUGGGGGAUAAUGUAGGGAAACUUACGCUAAUACCGCAUACGACCUACGGGUGAAAGCAGGGGAUCUUUGGACCUUGCGCGAUUGAAUGAGCCGAUGUCGGAUGAGCUAGUUGGCGGGGUAAAGGCCCACCUAGGCGACGAUCCGUAGCUGGUCUGAGAGGAUGAUCAGCCACACUGUAGCUGAGACACAGUCCAGACUCCUACGGUAGGAAGCAGUGGAGAAUAUUGGACAAUGGGGGCGAGCCUGAUCCAGCCAUACCGCGGGGGUGAAGAAGGCCUUCGGGUUGUAAAGCCCUUUUGUUGGGAGAGAAAAGCAGCAGGUUAAUCCCCCGCUAUUCUGACGGUACCCAAAGAAUAAGCACCGGCUAACUUCGUG
rnacentral:rRNA from 1 species